rnacentral:rRNA from 1 species
UACGAAGGGGGCUAGCGUUGCUCGGAAUCACUGGGCGUAAAGGGUGCGUAGGCGGGGCUUUAAGUCAGGGGUGAAAUCCUGGAGCUCAACUCCAGAACUGCCUUUGAUACUGAAGAUCUUGAGUUCGGGAGAGGUGAGUGGAACUGCGAGUGUAGAGGUGAAAUUCGUAGAUAUUCGCAAGAACACCAGUGGCGAAGGCGGCUCACUGGCCCGAUACUGACGCUGAGGCACGAAAGCUAGGGGAGCAAACAGG